rnacentral:lncRNA from 1 species
UCUCUAGCAGGUAUUUAACGAAGACAGCCUGAAAAUUAAUAUUAAUCCUUUGCUGGCAGCUGAAAAUUUUAGACAACUUAAGCCGAUGAAUGGACCGUAGCGUCAGUCAGUGGUGUUAGUCUAUUCAUUGGCUGGCUCUUGCACUAAAUAAGAACUCUUGUUGAUUAAAAAUCCAUUCCAGGAAUGCCACUGCACAUGUUAAAAGAGGCCUUAUUUUCCCCUGGGACCAAAAAUGUUUCUUCCUUUGCCUUUACAGGUCUUUUUUUAAUCUCAUCAAUUUCUGAACAGCCCUGUGACUCUCCUGUAGGUAAAAUUCUUACAGUUCUUUUCAAGCUCCAGGGCUCUCUAUCUCCAACCUACAGAACAGAUAAUUAAUCACCUUGCAGAUUACAGAUAAAUUGCAAAAGGAAAAGGAAACAUUUAAAAUGAAAAAAAUCUGGUGGGUAAUACCUUGACCAAGUGAUCAGACUUCACAUCACCUGUAAUGGAAUAAAUUAACAGUGUGUUCCCUUGCUGUGAUACUCUGAGGCCACAUCCACUCUAUAGUGUUCUUGCAAGAAUUAAAAUUAAACACUUUAACCUGAAGCAAAUAUGCAAAAACAAUGAGACAAAUCCAAACUGAGAGAUUCUGCAAUACCAUAGAAAUGGACUCUUCAAGAUGAAAUUAGAACGUCAUGAUGGCUAAAUUCAAUGUAUGGUCCUAAAUUAAUCAUCAACAUACACACAGGUGACAACAACAGCAAAAAACAACAGCUAUGAAGAACCUUAUUGGGACAAUUGUGGAAGUUUGAAUAUGAGUGUUUUCUAGAUAAUAGUACUGUAUCAAAGUUAAAUUUCCUGGGGGUGAUAAUAUUACAGUGGCUAUGCAGAACGCUGAACUUCUUGUUAAGAAAUAUAUGCUGAGGUGUUCAGGGGUAAAAUGUGAGUACACAUAGCUAACAAGCAUAUGAAUGCUCAUUGUAUUAUCCUUGCAAAUUAGGGGGGAAUAAUUAGAUUCAUGUUUUUAAAAGUUACUCUAGAUGCUGUGUGUGGAAGAAAUUGGAGGAAGAUGACUGGGCAUGCAAUAGAGUAGUCAUAACGCUGUGGCAGUGGUCCAGAAGAAAUGCUGGUGGCUUUCUGUUCGUCGCUGCAGUUGGAUAUUAAGAGUACAGUUGAAGGUAGACUUAAAUAUACGUUGGAAGCAGAAGCAAUGGGUUUUUCACAGAUCGAAUAUGAACAAAUGAAAGUGAAAAAAAUAAAAUGACGGUGUUGCACUGUGC